GACGGAGGGUGCAAGCGUUGUUCGGAAUUACUGGGCGUAAGCGCGGGCAGGUGGCCUUUUAAGUCCUUUGUGAAAUUCCGGAGCUCAACUCCGGAUGUGCAUAGGAUACUGGAAGGCUAGGAGACUGGUAGAGGCGAGCGGAAUUCCUGGUGUAGCGGUGGAAUGCGUAGAUAUCAGGAGGAACACCAAUGGCGAAGGCAGCUCGCUGGGACGGUACUGACGCUGAGACGCGAAAGCGUGGGGAGCAAACAGG
rnacentral:rRNA from 1 species